rnacentral:rRNA from 1 species
CCUACGGGCGGCUGCAGUGGGGAAUAUUGCACAAUGGGCGCAAGCCUGAUGCAGCCAUGCCGCGUGUGUGAAGAAGGCCUUCGGGUUGUAAAGCACUUUCAGCGGGGAGGAAGGCGGUGAGGUUAAUAACCUCAUCGAUUGACGUUACCCGCAGAAGAAGCACCGGCUAACUCCGUGCCAGCAGCCGCGGUAAUACGGAGGGUGCAAGCGUUAAUCGGAAUUACUGGGCGUAAAGCGCACGCAGGCGGUCUGUAAAGUCGGAUGUGAAAUCCCCGGGCUCAACCUGGGAACUGCAUUCGAAACUGGCAGGCUAGAGUCUGGUAGAGGGGGGUAGAAUUCCAGGUGUAGCGGUGAAAUGCGUAGAGAUCUGGAGGAAUACCGGUGGCGAAGGCGGCCCCCUGGACAAAGACUGACGCUCAGGUGCGAAAGCGUGGGGAGCAAACAGGAUUAGAUACCCCGGUAGUC